rnacentral:rRNA from 1 species
UGUAUAGCGAAAGCUAGUUGUGUUUAACUUAGUUAAAACUAAGUAGGCGCAAUAUUGACUAUGUCGAAUAAAGUUCUAGGUAGAAUUAUGAUUAUGACAUUGUCUAUCUAUGUGUCUUGACCAAAUUACGUGCCAGCAGUCGCGGUAACACGUAAAAGACUAGUGUUAUUCAUCUUUAAUAGGUUUAAAGGGUACCUAGACGGCCAAUCAAGCCCGAAAAGGGUACUAAUAGGCUAGAGUUUAAUAUAAGGAGGCAUAAAAGUACUGAGAAUGUUGAGAGAUGAAAUUCUGUGAUACUAUAUACGGCACUGGUAAAGGCGAAAGCAUCUUAUUAUGUAAAAACUGACGUUGAGGGACGAAGGCUGUGUAUAGCAAAAAGGAUUAGAUACCCAAGUAGUNUCAGCAGAAAAUGAUGAAUGUCAUAGGAUAGAAAAAUUUUGUACUAUAAAUGAAAGUGUAAGCAUUCCACCUUAAGAGUAAUUUGGCAACAUUGGAACUGAAAUCAUUAGACCGUUUNUGAAACAAGUAGUGAAGUAUGUUGUUUAAUUUGAUGG